AUUGAACGCUGGCGGCAGGCCUAACACAUGCAAGUCGAACGGUAACAGGAAGCAGCUUGCUGCUUUGCUGACGAGUGGCGGACGGGUGAGUAAUGUCUGUGAAACUGCCCGAUGGAGGGGGAUAACUACUGGAAACGGUAGCUAAUACCGCAUAACGUCGCAAGACCAAAGAGGGGGACCUUAGGGCCUCUUGCCAUCGGAUGUGCCCAGAUGGGAUUAGCUAGUAGGUGGGGUAACGGCUCACCUAGGCGACGAUCCCUAGCUGGUCUGAGAGGAUGACCAGCCACACGGGACUGGAGACACGGUCCAGACUCCUACGGGAGGCAGCAGUGGGGAAUAUUGAACAAUGGGCGAAGGCCUGAUGCAGCCAGGCCGCGUGUAUGAAGAAGGCCUUCGGGUUGUAAAGUACUUUCAGCGGGGAGGAAGGGAGUAAAGUUAAUACCUUUGCUCAUGGACGUUACCCGCAGAAGAAACACCGGCUAACUCCGU
rnacentral:rRNA from 1 species